UAAUCGGCCUUGUGCUUCUUAUCAUAUGCAC
rnacentral:piRNA from 1 species